rnacentral:rRNA from 1 species
GCCGGCGACCGGCGCACGGGUGAGUAACGCGUAUGCAACUUGCCUAUCAGAGGGGGAUAACCCGGCGAAAGUCGGACUAAUACCGCAUGAAGCAGGGGCCCCGCAUGGGGAUAUUUGCUAAAGAUUCAUCGCUGAUAGAUAGGCAUGCGUUCCAUUAGGCAGUUGGCGGGGUAACGGCCCACCAAACCGACGAUGGAUAGGGGUUCUGAGAGGAAGGUCCCCCACAUUGGUACUGAGACACGGACCAAACUCCUACGGGAGGCAGCAGUGAGGAAUAUUGGUCAAUGGGCGUAAGCCUGAACCAGCCAAGUCGCGUGAGGGAUGAAGGUUCUAUGGAUCGUAAACCUCUUUUAUAAGGGAAUAAAGUGCGGGACGUGUCCCGUUUUGUAUGUACCUUAUGAAUAAGGAUCGGCUAACUCCGUGCCAGCAGCCGCGGUAAUACGGAGGAUCCGAGCGUUAUCCGGAUUUAUUGGGUUUAAAGGGUGCGUAGGCGGCCUUUUAAGUCAGCGGUGAAAGUCUGUGGCUCAACCAUAGAAUUGCCGUUGAAACUGGGAGGCUUGAGUAUGUUUGAGGCAGGCGGAAUGCGUGGUGUAGCGGUGAAAUGCUUAGAUAUCACGCAGAACCCCGAUUGCGAAGGCAGCCUGCCAAGCCAUGACUGACGCUGAUGCACGAAAGCGUGGGGAUCAAACAGG